UGGGGGAUAUUGCACAAUGGGCGAAAGCCUGAUGCAGCGACGCCGCGUGGGGGAUGAAGGCUUUCGGGUUGUAAACCUCUUUCGCUAUCGAACAAGGCCCGCUUAGGGUGGGUUGAGGGUAGGUGGAGAAGAAGCGCCGGCUAACUACGUGCCAGCAGCCGCGGUAAUACGUAGGGCGCGAGCGUUGUCCGGAAUUAUUGGGCGUAAAGGGCUUGUAGGUGGCUUGUUGCGCCUGCUGUGAAAACGCGGGGCUUAACUUCGCGCGUGCAGUGGGUACGGGCAGGCUUGAGUGUGGUAGGGGUGACUGGAAUUCCAGGUGUAGCGGUGGAAUGCGCAGAUAUCUGGAGGAACACCGAUGGUGAAGGCAGGUCACUGGGCCAUUACUGACGCUGAGGAGCGAAAGCAUGGGUAGCGAACAGG
rnacentral:rRNA from 1 species